AUAUGAUAGUGGAAAAAUAAUAAUAAAUGCUUCAUUGAUAUUGUAAAAGAACAAUUAUUUCUACCUCUUCAAAUAUCAUAUGUGGUUUCUACUAUUUCUUCUCCAAUCUUUUUUCUUGAUUUCUUGAAUGAUCCACUUUGUUUCGUUGGCCCAACCUUUAGGAUUUCUUUUCCAACCAAGCCAAUCAAAAAUGUUCUGCCAAAUAUUAGUUGUAACAUUGCACUCAAAGAACAAGUGUUCCAAAUUUUCAUAUGGUUGCAAAAACUACACAGACCAUCAGUUGCAAUUCAAACUUAGCUAAUCUAUCUUUAGUUGCUAACCUGUUUUAGAGAGCAAGUCGUAAAUUGAAAGUUGCUCGUGGGCAAGCAUAGUUUGUGUAGAAGAGCCUUUUGGUUCACUCAACAUGGUCUCUAUCUCCACGCAAAGCUUGG
rnacentral:lncRNA from 1 species